rnacentral:rRNA from 1 species
CGGAAUUACUGGGCGUAAAGGGUGCGUAGGCGGUUCGUUAAGUCUGUCGUGAAAUCCCCGGGCUCAACCUGGGAAUGGCGAUGGAUACUGGCGAGCUAGAGUGUGUCAGAGGAUGGUGGAAUUCCCGGUGUAGCGGUGAAAUGCGUAGAGAUCGGGAGGAACAUCAGUGGCGAAGGCGGCCAUCUGGGACAACACUGACGCUGAAGCACGAAAGCGUGGGGAGCAAACAGG